ACACGUUUUGAGCCAACACUCAAAAUAAGGGAAUCCAAUAUUUGUCUGUGGACUUAAUGCCUCCUCUUGAGUGGACUAAGGAAGCAGCUUGAGGAAUCCCACCUGCAUAUGCAGGUUCAAAACAUUGGCGUUAACCGGCAUUGUGGGGCAU
rnacentral:other from 1 species